AACGGCUGGCGGCGUGCCUAACACAUGCAAGUCGAACGAAGCUCCAUUCAAUGCGAUUCGUCAAGGUUGAAGGGAUGACUUAGUGGCGAACGGGUGAGUAACGCGUGAGCAACCUGCCCCGGAGUGGGGACAACAGUUGGAAACGACUGCUAAUACCGCAUGACAUGUACGGUAGGCAUCUACUGUACAUCAAAAGAUUUUAUUGCUCUGGGAUGGGCUCGCGUCUGAUUAGAUAGUUGGCGGGUAACGGCCCACCAAGUCGACGAUCCGUAGCCGGACUGAGAGGUUGAACGGCCACAUUGGGACUGAGAUACGGCCCAGACUCCUACGGGAGGCAGCAGUGGGGAAUAUUGGGCAAUGGGCGAAAGCCUGACCCAGCAACGCCGCGUGAAGGAAGAAGGCCUUCGGGUUGUAAACUUCUUUUGUUGGGGACGAAGAAAGUGACGGUACCCGACGAGUAAGCUACGGCUAACUACGUGCCAGCAGCCGC
rnacentral:rRNA from 1 species